AAAAAGACAAACCCUGGUUUCCGUGUCUAACGUUUGACCGUCCGUCUUAUUUGAAAAAAAUUAAAAAGAUAACUCACGCAUAAAGUAUUAAUCUUGUUUUAUCAUCUAACAACAAUGAAAAUACUAAUUACAAGAAAAUUUCAUAUAAGACAGACAGUCAAAUAUUGGCACGGAAAUCCAGUGUUUGUGUUUUU
rnacentral:pre_miRNA from 1 species